GGAGCUUGCUCCUCUGACGUUAGCGGCGGACGGGUGAGUAACACGUGGAUAACCUACCUAUAAGACUGGGAUAACUUCGGGAAACCGGAGCUAAUACCGGAUAAUAUAUUGAACCGCAUGGUUCAAUAGUGAAAGACGGUUUUGCUGUCACUUAUAGAUGGAUCCGCGCCGCAUUAGCUAGUUGGUAAGGUAACGGCUUACCAAGGCAACGAUGCGUAGCCGACCUGAGAGGGUGAUCGGCCACACUGGAACUGAGACACGGUCCAGACUCCUACGGGAGGCAGCAGUAGGGAAUCUUCCGCAAUGGGCGAAAGCCUGACGGAGCAACGCCGCGUGAGUGAUGAAGGUCUUCGGAUCGUAAAACUCUGUUAUUAGGGAAGAACAAAUGUGUAAGUAACUAUGCACGUCUUGACGGUACCUAAUCAGAAAGCCACGGCUAACUACGUGCCAGCAGCCGCGGUAAUACGUAGGUGGCAAGCGUUAUCCGGAAUUAUUGGGCGUAAAGCGCGCGUAGGCGGUUUUUUAAGUCUGAUGUGAAAGCCCACGGCUCAACCGUGGAGGGUCAUUGGAAACUGGAAAACUUGAGUGCAGAAGAGGAAAGUGGAAUUCCAUGUGUA
rnacentral:rRNA from 1 species